UCAGACAGGCAGAGGCUGCCACGGUGGACUGUAACAACUGCUGGAAAUUCUGAAAAUGUUUUGCUCAGAGCAGAGUUGGCAGAUGUCAUGACAAAGGUGAAAACACGGUCUCUAGGAUGCCCCCUGCCAAGGGAGGGGGGAAGGGAGGAGUCAUUUAAACCUAACUGUAAAGAUUCAAGGGAGGCUAUUCCUUUCCUCUUGGCUCAUCACCACCUUUACUACGCGAUGCCUGGAAUCUCUGCAGCCAGCAGGCGACAUAUGAAGGGAGCUGAAAAGCAGGAGCCGGAGCAGAGAGACAGAAGGCAUCAAGGUCUUUGAAGAGGUCAGCGAGAGGCUGGCCACCCCAGCUGCGAGCCAACCACUCCCGUGAAUGAUCGUGAUGUCGGAAAAUACGCCCCUCAGCGCACCGGGCAUCACGCCCGACUUCCAAAUGCUUGUGUGGGAGAUGGCAGGAUUUGAAGAACCCAGAGGAAAACAGGAUUCUUGUCACAGAGAGAGAGAGAGAAUGAGGCAGAGACACAGGCAGAGGGAGAAGCAGGCUCCAUGCACCGGGAGCCCGACGUGGGAUUCGAUCCCGGGUCUCCAGGAUCGCGCCCUAGGCCAAAGGCAGGCGCCAAACCGCUGCGCCACCCAGGGAUCCCCAAUGAUUGAUAAUUUCAAUGGGCAAAUAGCUGCCAGAUAUGAAGAAAAGAUUCUUUCCAAAUAUAUUAUAUACACACACACAUAUAUAUAGUAGCUAAUCCACAAUUUUUGAAAAUUUUAUCAUUAUGUAGUUAAGAAGCAGUAAUUCAUUAUUUACAUUUCACCAUAAGAUUCUACAUAUUUAAGAAAUUCUAUAACUAGGUGAGGGAUGAGUGUGUCACAGGAAACCAAAGGUUGUAUGCUUCUCAUUGACACAUCCAGCUCUAUUCAAAGGGAAUUCAAAGAUAAUUUUCCUCUGUUUAGUCUCUGUAGAGUAUUUUAAAAUAUUUUAAAAUUCAUGGGAAUAAUCAACACUCAGAAGAAUUACAUCUUUGGCAAUGAAAAACACAUUGAGGGGUUUUAGAGCCUUUGCAAACUGCCACUCAAGCUUAUUAUUUAUGAACUCUUUGCUCUUUAAAAUUGAGAACAAAGCAAUUAACUACAAUUUCACACCUUCAGGAAGAUGAGGAACACAGUCUGCUAUCUAUUGUAAAUUCCAAAGUGUAUUCUUUCACUUAAAUUUAUAGUUCCAUUGAGUGGAAAUUUUCUUCUUAUUCAAAAUAAAGUAAGUGAAUCUUUUUUUUUCACUGAAAAUGGACAAUGCAUACCAAUUUUGUUCUUAAGAAAGUAAGUUUAAUAGACCCCAUUGUCCAGAUCAUCGCAAGGCCAAUAUUUUCGAACAUGAAGCACAGAGGUAGACCAUAAUCAGGGAGGCAACGUGCUGGCUGGCUUGCUCACUGAAUGCGGUGAUCAGAACUUCACAAACACAUGCCUUGGCAACAACAGUGUGUUCAGGUUACCGAGCAUGGCACUUGCUGGGGGUCAGGUCCUCGAUCCCCACGGUGCCUGUGCUAUGCUCCUACUACCACAAACCACCCAAGGUCUUGAAGCAGGGAGAUCAGGGAGGGUCCCCCAGGUGGGAAGGCAUGGAUUGGAGCCCGGGCCGUCGGACCAGCAUGCGAGCACCCCUCUCUGUUCACGGCUCUCUGCCCAAACAGGAGUCCCCAGCAGGCGCAGGGAGAGGCUACACAGCAUGGAUGACGUCUGUACCAAAACACCCCAACUCAACACAGGUGCCACCAAAAGAAAGUAACGGGAUGUUCCUUUGGAGAAUAAAAAUAACAGAACGACUCACUUGUUUUUCAUAUUUUAGAGCUGCUCAAAGAAGGAAUUAGAAUUGAACCAAUAUCCCUUAUGCCUUAGACCUGAACAUUAUCCUCUCAUUCUUCCUCUUCCUACUGCCUGGGGCAGGCCCCUCAACUAUUACACUAGACUCCAACAUCAUCCUCCCAACCUCAAUCUCCUGCUCCAUUCAAUUUUUCAGAGGGACCCUGCUCACGACCAGUCUGCUGCUCAAGGAAACUUCCGAUGGCUGCUCCUGACCAUAGGAUAAAAUGUAUACAACCCAGAUGUCUUGGUUUCGGGUCCCAACUGGGCUCUCAACACUCUCCUUCCUUCUCUCAUCAAGAAGUAACCACCAAUCUAACUAUUUCUGUGCAAUUCCUGUCCCCCACCCCCACCUCAGCACUGGUCUGCAAGUACUUAUCAAGAUCAUGCUACGUUUAGUGGUCUCUGCCUUGGAGAAGACACCCUGAUAAAUGCCAACCAUAAAUUCUUCCUCAAGUCACAGGUACUUAGUGCUCACAAGGACCAUGCAUGUACCUAGCUAAAAUGAAACAACCUGGAAGAAUGAGGGCAACUUUGGAGACUUUAUCUAAUCAGUUGGGAACUGUGUUUUUAGCUCAACUAUUUUAGUCAUCUUAACAACUCAAGCAAAUGAGCAUGUCUGGGGUGGAAAUGGGGCUCAGUUCAGCCUGGGGGAGAUUAGGGUCAAGGUGUUGAUUUUCAAGGAGAGAAAUGUUCGGUGAAUUUUCCCCAUAUUCUGACUUAAUUUCUGUGUUUAUUUUGAAAUUUGCCCCAACUACACUUUCUCACUUUCCCACAGUCACACACUUUUCCCUGCUUUACAAGAAUUGUUUCCCAUCCUCUACCUAUUCAAACUCUGGAAUAAUAUCACUAUUCUGAUCUACAAAGCUGUGCAUGGAGCCCAGCUGGGCCUACAUGGCAGCUCCUCACUGUGAGUUCCCACAGCUCCAGGCCCUCAGGCCACACUUCCGUCAAUAUAGAGCAUUUGGGAAGCAGAAUGUUUCUUCCAUAAUCUGGUCACGUUCAAUAUACCUGCAGUCUUAUCAGAGCCUCAAUUAGGACCCUCAAAAUGUGUUGUUCAACAAAUAUGUUUCAUUCAAAAUUCUGUGUCAUGUUAUUUUUUCUAUAUAUAUUUUCUUUUUAAAAAUGUACCUUGCAUUUGCUUUCUUUUUAUAUUUAAAAAAAUUUUUUCCAGCUGCCUUUCCAAUGUCAAGUGCUUCAAGCAUUUAAUCUGUUAAGCCUCCAUUCCCUCCCAUGUAGAUCGGAGAUAAGAGUAUUAUCUAAAAUAUAAGGUUAUUAGGGGAACGGACUGAAAUAAUGCAUGAACAAAGUUAGCACCUGUCAGUAGCAACUGAAUAAUUGGUGAGAAGCGGAAAGACAAGCCAGACUCUAGGCUGAGAAUAAAAAAAGGAAAUCUAUUACUGCCCUGAAGGAUACUGCUCGGUUAUAGGUCAGAAAAAUAUAUAGAUGGAAAAUAAGAAAACAUGGAAAAUAGUACUAGAGAGACUUAGUGCAGAUGAGAAAAGUCUUUCCAUUCAAGAUAAGUGUAUGUUGGACGUUUCACAAAGGCAGAGCAUGUGGAUUCUAGCAUCUGAGGUGGUUUCCUGUUUACCUUUGCCAUGGCAAGUCUGUGCAUGACAUGGUAGGGGACAGGAAAAAGGUGAGGGUCGCAUACUGGCCAUCACAGUGACUUGAUUCUGUGAAGUGCGGCCAUUCUGUGUACACCCGCACGUGGAGACAGCAGCUAAGGGAGGAGGAAACUGAUCUACGGACGCCGGUCAGCCCUUCCCACAGCACAGGAGCCAGCUGGCUCUACCAGGUUGAAAUGGAUCCCACUCACUCCACACAGGGGUGACUUAUUACCGGGCACGGAGCACAUCU